rnacentral:rRNA from 1 species
GACGUAGGGCGCGAGCGUUGUCCGGAUUUAUUGGGCGUAAAGAGCUCGUAGGCGGCUUGUCGCGUCAACUGUGAAAACCCGUGGCUCAACCAUGUGGUCUGCAGUCGAUACGGGCAGGCUAGAAUUCGGUAGGGGAGACUGGAAUUCCUGGUGUAGCGGUGAAAUGCGCAGAUAUCAGGGAGGAACACCGGUGGCGGAAGGCGGGUCUCUGGGCCGAUAUUGACGUGAGGAGCGAAGCGUGGGGAGCAACAGG